rnacentral:antisense_RNA from 3 species
GCUUAUGGCGGCUGUGCGCGGGGCACUUCGGUGCGCCGGGUCCUUUAGCCCUGGUCUUCCACACCUGCGUACAGCUGCCACCCCU